UUUCUCUGAGUUCCAUAAUAGAAAAAGUAAUUUGUGACGAAAGAGUGAAUUUUAAUUAUUUCUUCUGCAAUUAAUAAGUAGAUGUUACAAAUGGUAAAGAAACCAAAGUAAGAUCAGAAAACUAAAGAAAAAUGAAAAAGAGUACGUACUCCUUUCACAUACUUAAGAGAACAAACUAAGCAAUCUCUAUUUACCUAAGGAUACCCAUAGCAUCAAGGGCUAAAAUAUGAUGUAAAUCAGGAGUUGAAAUAUUAAAAAUGUAGAAAUCAUGGGAAGUUUUGACCCUUCUUGACUCGGUCAUUCAUAGUAUAUAUAUAUAAUUUAUUUUUAAUAUAUAUUUUGUAUUUUACUAUAUAUUUUAUAUAAAUGACAUUUUUUUGUACAAUAACAUUGUUGUAUAUAAAAUUAUAAAUUCUAAAGAUAAAAAUAUCUAUUUUUAAUUAUAAUUGCAAAAAAACAUUAAAAUUCAAUAUUAUUUUCUUUUGAAAAUAAAUAUCUUUAUUUGUUAUUUUUAUUGUAUUUAUAAUAUUCUUAAAACUUUUUUUUUCUAUUAAGUCUUUGAGUUGAGAGAUAUUUUGGUAGUUUACCAAAAUUUUUUCUAUCUACAUUUUUAAACAUUAUUAACUUUUGCUAAAUCACCAGUUUUUUUUUACGCUCUAACUCCUUAUCUAGGGAAACUAUGCACUGGUGUGUCUCCCUCAAAAUGCAGUUCUUUUUUGAAUAACUUAUUUUGUUGUUGCAAGAGCUAAAAUCUAAAAGCUCAUACCCCAUAAGGACAAUAAAGAGUACAUAGAGUUUAACAAUAAAAUAAAAGAGAAUUCCUGUGACAGAAAAAAAAUUAGGAUGAGUUCAUACCAGUGCUGUUUCUGUCGCAAUCCUCCCUCAGGCUGACGAGAACAAGGCCAAAGCACUUAAAAGUACUGUGUGCAAAGCUAUUUGAAAUGGAAGGGGUCCGAGCUCAUAAUACACGAUCAAAACUUCGGUCAGCACAGAUUGGCAGCGGUGAUAGAUCUGAACGCAUCCGGACAUACAACUUUCCUCAAGGUCGUGUCACUGAUCAUAGAGUUGGUAUAACUUAUCACUCAAUAGAUGAUGUGAUGCAAGGUGAGAAUCUUGAGGUAUUUAUUGAUGCUCUCUUAUUGCAAGAAGAAAUGGAUGCAAUUGCAACUUUUAGUUCUUCUCAGUAACACCAACUGAUGGAACCAGGCGUUACUAAUUAGUGACUAUUAGUUCGGGGGCUCAUUUUUGUACUUCCCAUGCUGAAAAAGAAAGGUUCUUGUAUUUUGAAUAAGAUAUGCUAGAUUUAGAGAGGGGAAAAUUUUUUUUCUGAUAGCAUAGUAUCAAAUGAUGUGCGUAUGGUUAUUUGAUAAUAUAAUUACACGAUAUAUUUGUUCA